rnacentral:rRNA from 1 species
AGUGAACGCUGGCGGCGUGCCUAAUACAUGCAAGUCGAACGAAGUGACGCACGGGUGGGUGAUAUAUAGUUAGUCUGCCCUACACAGAGGAACAACAGCUGGAAACGACUGCUAAUACCUCAUAGUGUAGGAUGAGACUAUAACGGAUCAGCUAGUUGGUAAGGUAAUGGCUUACCAAGGCGAUGACGCGUAACUGGUCUGAGAGGAUGAUCAGUAACAUUGGACGUGAGGCACGGGCGAAACUCAUUCGAGAAGCAGCAGUAAGGAAUAUUGCGCAAUGGGGGAGUCCGUGAAGCGGCUACGCGGUGUGGAGGACGUCAAUUUGCGGAGCGUAAACUCAUGUUAACAGGAUUGCGGUACCUGAAGAAUAAGCACCGGCUAACUCCGUGCCAGCAGCCGCGGUAAUUC